UAUCCUAUUGAUUAACGGGUAGAUCAUAAAUUUUUGGUAUUUACAGUCGGUGUUCGAAUCACCGUAGGAUAA
rnacentral:tRNA from 1 species